rnacentral:misc_RNA from 1 species
GUGAGUCAUCGAAUCUUUGAACGCACCUUGCGCUCCUUGGUAUUCCGAGGAGCAUGCCUGUUUGAGUGUCAUUAAAUUCUCAACUGCCAUUCACUUUUGUGAAAGGCAGCUUGGAUUGUGGGGGGUUUGUGGGCUUCAUGAUCUUUGAAGCCCACUCCUCUUAAAUGGAUUAGUGGGACCUUUAUGGGGACUGCUUUGGUGUGAUAACUAUCGACGCCAUGGCUGUGACCAUGAAAUUGGGUCUUGCUUUCAAAUGGUCCCCUAUGGGGACAAAAUGACCAAUUUGACCUCAAAUCAGGUAGGACUACCCGCUGAACUUAAGCAUAUCAAUAAGCGGAGGA